rfam:Camelus ferus unplaced genomic scaffold scaffold1107, whole genome shotgun sequence.
GAGGGUAUAGCUCAGUGGUAGAGUACAUGCCUAGCAUGCGCGAAGUCCUGGGUUCAAUCCCCAGUACCGCCA